rnacentral:tRNA from 1 species
GCAUUGGUGGUUUAGUGACAGAAUUCUUGCCUUUCAUUCGGGAGACCUGGGUUCAAUUCCUGGCCAGUGCA